UACGUAGGGUGCAAGCGUUGUCCGGAAUUAUUGGGCGUAAAGAGCUCGUAGGCGGUCUGUCGCGUCGGCUGUGAAAACCCGGGGCUCAACCUCGGGCCUGCAGUGGGUACGGGCAGACUAGAGUGUGGUAGGGGAGACUGGAAUUCCUGGUGUAGCGGUGGAAUGCGCAGAUAUCAGGAGGAACACCAAUGGCGAAGGCAGGUCUCUGGGCCACAACUGACGCUGAGGAGCGAAAGCGUGGGGAGCGAACAGG
rnacentral:rRNA from 1 species